rnacentral:rRNA from 1 species
UUUCUGCAAAACUGCUCUCCUCUGGAAAAAAAGAAAAACGCUGAAAGGAAAAAAAACAGAAGCAGGACAAAAUUGCUGGGCCCAAGGUGCACAGGAGAGGGGGCGGCUCACCCAUGGGCCGUGGCCCGGCUCGGUGGAGGGGAUUGGGCCUGCUGGCGCUUGAGGGAAAGCAGCCCAGGCGCGGUGUGGCGGUCAACACGUAUGAGCAGGCGAGCGCUGCUGCCCUCGUCUCUGAAAAGCAGAAACAGCAACGGGGGCGUGAGGUACAGAGCGGCGGACGGCGGACAUGGCUGCCGGCGACGUGGGACUUGGCGACGGCAGGCUUGAUGGCG